AGUGAACGCUGGCGGUAGGCCUAACACAUGCAAGUCGAACGGCAGCACAGUAAGAGCUUGCUCUUACGGGUGGCGAGUGGCGGACGGGUGAGGAAUACAUCGGAAUCUACUUUUUCGUGGGGGAUAACGUAGGGAAACUUACGCUAAUACCGCAUACGACCUACGGGUGAAAGCAGGGGAUCUUCGGACCUUGCGCGAUUGAAUGAGCCGAUGUCGGAUUAGCUAGUUGGCGGGGUAAAGGCCCACCAAGGCGACGACCCGUAGCUGGUCUGAGAGGAUGAUUCACCAAACUGGAACUUAGGACAGGUUCCGACUCCCAAGGGAGGGAGGCGGUGGGAAUAUUGGACAAUGGGCGCAAGCCUGAUCCAGCCAUACCGCGUGGGUGAAGAAGGCCUUCGGGUUGUAAAGCCCUUUUGUUGGGAAAGAAAAGCAGCAGGUUAAUACCCCGCUGUUCUGACGGUACCCAAAGAAUAAGCACCGGCUAACUUCGUG
rnacentral:rRNA from 1 species